CGCCCUGGCACCCCCAAACACCACACAAUAUUCUAUGACGAUGACACCUCUGUAAUUCCUCCUCUUACACCCCCUUCUUCUUACUAUUCCACAAACAGCAAUAAACCCUUAAAGAGUGCUUCAAGAUCAAGAAUUUUGCACACUUUACUUAGAAGAAUCGAUCUCAAGAAUGUUAACCAGUUUGAAACGUUGAAGUCUUCUUCUUCUCGUCUGUGUUAUCGUUGUUGUUGUGGUCAACAUCAUUGUCACCUUCCUUUGUCCAUGAAGAAGGAAGACAAUUUUCGAGACGUGAGUUUGAUGAUAAUCAUAAGGAUGUGUGUUUAAUCAUGAAAAAAGCUUUGUUGUCCGUUUUUCGCCGUGGACCUGGCUAAGGUAAUUCUUGAAGAUUCAUCAUGUCCGUGUACGUGGAUUUCAUCUCUCCAUUGUGUUUGGGGAUGAAAUGAUCAGUCAAUAGUUAUUGUGUUGUCUCAACAUUUAUAAUUCUACGUAAAAAAUCAGCUGAAGUAUAUGGAAUUUAAACCCCGUUUGAUAGCAAUUUUUCACUCCAAAAAAUCAAUUUUUGAAUGUUAUUUUAUUAUUCCAGCCGUCAUUUUUGACUUCUUCACUCACAAGUAGGAUCCACUUUUCUCUCUAAUAAUUAAAAAAUUAAUUCUCAUAAUCACUAUCGAACAGACCCUAAAUCUUGUAACACAUUUGGUAGGAGGUUUAAAUAGUACUUGAGAGUAGAGUUGUGCACCAGUCAAGUUAAAUCUAGCCCGAUCACUGAAAAUAGAUCUUAUAAGGUUCAAAGCCGAUCUAAAUCGAUUCGAAUCGGAUUGGUUUCAAGGCAUUUUUCCUCUUAAAAUCCAAUUUUCAUUUUUAAGAAAAGGAUCAUUAAAAUCGAAGUUUCGAGUUGGAAAAUCCCAAUUCGGAAACCACCAGAUGUAUUGUGAACCUGACCUAAAUUUGCCCGAAUCAAAUUGAUUUAACAGUUUGGAUUGGGUUAAAGGUUAUUUAGCCCGAACCUACUUGAUAGUAUUAAAAACGGGAAAAUUUCAAAAAUAAGAGGAUAAGCAUUGCCUAAUUCAAAACUAAGACCAAAGGUUUGAACUUUCAAAAAUCAGAAAUUUAAUAAAAUUUAUUUAUUAUUUAAUUUAUUAAUUAUAUAUUUUAUUAAUUAAAUAUAUUAAAGUAACAUAUUUAUACAAUUUGGUCACAGAUUCACAAUUUAAUAAAUCAAAUAAUAUUUUUCAGUCACAAAUCAACAUUUUGAAAUGUUCAAAUUAUUUUAUGGUCACAAAAUCAAAAAUUUUAUAGGUUACAGUUUGUUCAUCGAUCACAGAUCAAAAAUUAAUACUUCACAAUUUAUAUGUCGAUCACAGAUUACAAAUAUUAUAGGUCACAGUUUUAUUAGACGGUCACAAAUUAAUAUACUUUUAGGUCACAUUUGUCACAAAUCAUCUUUUUCAUAGGUAACAUAUUUGUUUAUUAGUCACAGAUUAACCAUUAAUGAUCAAAAUCAAUCAAAUAAUCUGUGACCACCACUGACAAUUACGACAAUCACUGCCUCUAACAAUAUCGCCGCCAUCGUCGCCGUCAGAACCACCACCACCAUCCAACAACAACACUGUCUAGGACAAAAACACCAUAGCAAGCACAUCACCACCCCUCGCUGUUGCAACGCAAACCACCACCACAUUAACACAAACCAAACACCAAAAUAGUGAAAAACAAACCAUCAGAUCACGUCACCCAUGUCAUCCCGACACGACAACCAACCCUCCAUCCCUACCACAUAACACAGCCACAAUCCCCACCCAAGAUCUGCAACGAACUUAGAAUGGCGGUCGAGACCACCACAAGACGACACGAACAUAAAAAAAAAAACCACAUGCAAAAACUCCUCAAUCAACAACGACCUUAGAAUAGCAAUCGCACACAACGGCCAUUGAUUGGCCAGAUCUAUGGCCGGACCAUCAUCAUAACUGACAUAUUCACCACCACAAAACGGACACAACAUCAACACCACCACCACAUAAAAACACUACUUCGCCACCAUCAACACCACCACAUAAACAGGAAGAGAAAAGGGGAUGAAAGUGAGAGACGCUCGCAGCAGCGCUGCAUCUUCCGGUGGAUGGAUGGCGUCGCUACAGCGUCCGGUAAUGGAUCGAGGGUGGGUGAGUCACUAGCGAUUGUCAAGACGGCGGCGACGAUGGGAGAAUUAGUUUAGAGAGAGAGAGAGAGAGAGAGAGAGAGAGAGAGAGAGAGAGAGNNNNNNNNNNNNNNNNNNNNNNNNNNNNNNNNNNNNNNNNNNNNNNNNNNNNNNNNNNNNNAGGGUUUCCUGUAAUUUCCUCAUUAAAAAUUCAACUAAGAUGUCAAAAUCACAUUAGUAGCAAACGUGGACUUUUAACUUAUUUGCAUAUUAACUAACAAUGUUCUUCAUUUUCUUUUUCUUCUUUCUAGAGUUAGGUUACACGAGAUAAUUUAGAAUAUAAAUAGAAAAGAUUUACCUUCCAAAUAUCAAUAAUUUAUGCCUUCAAUUAUUAAUUUAAAAUGAUUUUGAUAUUUAUGGGUUUAUAGUAUAUAAAUACAUAACUUUAUUAUUUUUUUAAUAAUUUAAACUUUUAAACAAGAUAAUUUGAUGUAAUCAAAUAAAAAUUGUGUUUGGACCAAAGAAAUGAAUAUUUAGGUAUCGUAUAUUUUUUUAAUCACGCCAAUGUACAUUUUACUUUUUGCAAACAUCCUAAUAAGGUCCCCUCUUUCUAUCUUUAUUCCACUAAUAAUUUAGCCAAAUGGGCUCUAACAAAAAGUUGGUAACAAGUUUCCAUCCAACAAUUAAUGUUCUAUUCGAUUUUUGCAAUUGGAAUAGUUUGACAGUCACCUCAUCCUCCAAACGGAGAAGGAUGCAUUUCCCCUUCUACAUUAAUAUGUAUAAUCUUGGAUAUAGAAUCAAGCACUUUCAACUUAAUUUCUCUCAUUUAUUUAUGGAUAAAUUUUAAAACACCAUUAUUUAAGUCAUACGCGAUAGAACUCGUUAAUUACAUACUUAUUUACACUUUUUUGUGACUUUUUUUUCCACCCCUCAGUAUAAAAGUUGAUAUUCUGCUGAUUCUAAGAUAUGUAACAAUAAUAUUCAUUAGAAGUUGUUGUUUACUAGUUGAGAUAUUGAUUGAAAUGAAAGUUUAACAUGACAAAAAAAUCCAGAAGUUUGCCUAAGAGAUUUUUAGGUUAUCUUACUCGUCUUAUUCAACAAUUCAUGUGUUAAGCACGUAAAAUAGCAAAUCUAAAUAAUCGGCAGUUUCAUGCGAGUCGUGGCACCAAAUCCUCUUAUCGAAUAUCAUGUUUACAUAGUUCGAGAAUAAAACCUAGGGGGCUGCUACAAUGCUAGAUUUUUUUAUUUAUUUUUUACUGAACCUCUACAUGCUUCACACAAUGGAGUGGGUCAGCAUUCUAAAGCAAUAACUAUAUUCAAAAGGUAAUCCAAUAUUUCUAAAUAACUCAUUAUAUAAAAAGUUGUCUUUGAUAAGCAAUCCAACCUUCAAAUACGCAAUUAUAAAUAUGAAAUACAAUAAUGUUUAAUAAUAGUCAUCAUUUGUUUAUUUUUUCUCCCUUUUUCAUUAAUAUUGUAAUCUUUAACAUAAUAUAAUAAUAAGAUUUUAAAAUUAGUAAAAUAUUUUAAAUAUAUAAUUAUACAUGCGUGUACACCUAUAACAAAUUAUAUAAUUAUACAUGUAAAUUCACCAAGGACUACUUCGCUCUUGGCAUUUUCCAUGUUGUUUUCAUCAUUUAUCUCUAAAUAUUUUGCCCCCCGUUUGGUAGCAAAUUUUUGACCAUUAUUUCACUAUUUUCAGUUAUCAUUUUUUACUUCUACACUCACAAGUGGGACCUAUUUUUCUCUCUAAUAAUCAAAAAAUCAAUUCUCAUAAUCAUUACCGAGCAAACCCUGUACCUUUUGGUUUAGUUAAAGUUAUAAAUUACGAUUUAAAUUAAAAUCAAUAAUUAAUUUUAAUCAUACAUUUCAUGAAAUUUGUAAUUUUUCAAUUACAUAUUUUAUUAACUUUUAUUAAAAUUUACUAAAAAUUUAUUUUUUAUUUGAACUAAACAGAUGCAUAAUACAUUACGGGAAAUUGUAGUGAUAUUUCCCAAUCUGUGACCUUUCGGAACAUUUCUAUAUCUUCAAUAUUUUAUAAUUGUUAAAUAAACAUAUUCAGUCUAUUUGACUUUUGAAAUAGUACAUGCAAGGUAUGGGAAAAAAAGAAAAGAAAAGGAAAAAUGCAAAUAAUUUUAAUAAGGAAAAAUUAGAGAGAGGAGAAAAACUCAUCCCCUCAAUCUGUUUGGGGAUCAAUUCAUUACAGACAUAGCAGGUUAAAGGACCUUUGUUGCAAUAAUUUCGGCCCAUGUUUGAUACUAUUAAAAAAUUUGAUUAAAAUAUGGAUCGAGCUACACUUGACAUAGAGAAUGAUCGAAAACACACACAAAUGGGGGGUCGGUAUUUUUUAACUCACGCGAGACCCACGCUCAAUGUGAGGGUCUGUCAAUCGAGCUGUCAUCAAAAUUCGAGCAAAGUUGCUUUUUUCCUUAAAAUAUAAAUGAAAAUCAACAAUUAAUUUUGACUACACAUUUUAUAGGAUCCACAAUUUUUCAAUCACACAUUUCAUCAACUUUUAUCAAAACCAUCAAAAAAACUGAUUUUAGUCUCUAUCCAAUAAUAUUGCUCGUGAUAUAUUAUAGAACAACUGCUUCCUAUCAUUAAAGCUCUAUUUAUCUCCACCCUUCUCUUCCUUACUUUCAACAUGCCGAAUCUGAUUAGCAAGAGCCAAGAUUCUGGGCAGAAGUCCUUUGAAAUCAAGAAUGACGACAAGUUUUUUUCAAGGCUCCUUGCAAAGGAAUCCACAAAAACCAACCCUUCAUUUAGGGUUUACUAUGGAGAUGUAUCUGUUGCAGUGCCCUUCAUGUGGGAAACUCGCCCUGGCACCCCCAAACACCACACAAUAUUCUAUGACGAUGCCACCUCUGUAAUUCCUCCUCUUUCACCCCCUCCUUCUUACUAUUCCACCAACAAGAAUAAACCCUUAAAGACUAGCUCAAGAUCAAGAAUUUUGCACACUUUACUCAGAAGAAUCGAUCUCAAGAAAAUUGACCAGUUUGAAAUGUCAUCGUCUUCUUCUUCAUCAUCAUCCUCGUCUGUGUUACCGUUGUUGUCGUGGUCAACAUCAUUGCCACCUUCCCGUUUCCAUGGAGAAGGAAGACGAUUUUCAAGACGUGGGACGUCGUUGUUUGAUGAUAAUUAUAAAGAUGUGUGUUUGAUCAUGAAGAAAGCUUGGUUGUCCAUUUUUCGCCGUGGAUCUGGCUAAGGUAAUUCUUAAAGAUUAGUCGUGUCUGUGUACGACGAUUUCAUCUUCCCUUUGUGUUUGGGGGAUGAAAUGAUCAGUUAAUAGUUCUUGUGUUGUCCCAAUAUUUAUCAUUCUGCAUCAAAAAUCAGCUGGAAGUAUAUGAAAUUUAGUUAAUAAAACUCUUACAACAUGUUUGGUAGGAGGUUCAGUAACACUUGAUAUUGGAGAUGUGCACGAGUCAAGUUGGGUCCAACGUGACCACUGAAAAUUGAACUGAUAAGGUUCAAACCAGAUCCAAAUUGAUUUGAGUAGGGUCGGCUUCAAAGCAUUUUUCCUCUUUAAAUCCAUUUUUAUAAAGGAUCAUUUAGAUCGAAGUUUCGAGUUGGAAAAUCUCAAUGGAAAUCAACCAAUGGACUGCGAACCCAAUCAAACCGACUUGAAUCAAAUCAAUUUAGCAGUUUGGAUCAUGUUCAAGGUUAUUUUGCCC
rnacentral:lncRNA from 1 species